CUGUAACAUACCUGUGUUGAACAUCCCUCCUGCAGUAAGUAGAGUUCCCUUUAGGGGCUGAACUUGGAAAACAGCUGAAGCUAGAUGAGGAGAGGAGGACAAAGAGCAAAGGGAUUAACUCAGCAAGAGGGGGUAGAACACACACACACUUCAGGAGAAGCAUAUUGUCCUGGGCUGAAAAAAUCAAUAGCAGAGGGUAAGCAGGCAUCAGCCAGCUUUAUAUAUAUAGUGCUCUGGGAACUGCUGAAAAACUCCAGAAUAUGUACAAAAGAGUGAUGGUAGUCAUCCAGAUAGGGAUAUAUAUUAAUAGGCUAGAGAAAGAUGUUGCUUGAAAAUGGCUAGGAUGCAAAUUCACUUCGUGGGGAGAAAAUGUGCUAAUAAAUGCUCAUGUUGUAAAGAUGCUAUAUAAAUGUUAAUGCUAAUAAAAUGGCACACACUGUUUUUAUUAAAAUAUUGCUGGGUUUUGGUAGACUGGUCAUUUUGAGACCUUAUCUGAAGUAGAGGAAACAACAUUGCAUAACUAAUAUUUCCCUUUGCAGCUAAGCUGUACUACAGGACCUGCCUUUCUCUUAUGAGAGUGGAAGAUUGCAGGCAAUUAGGAUCAUUCAUGCUGUCCUGGAGAAGUAUGGUACCUAUGAGAGUUUUGAAGUUGCCACUGGAGGAAGACUGCUGAGCAAAUGCCAAAUCUGGUCUGUUAUCCGAAAGUACAUGCAGAAGGAAGGCUGUGUGGGAGAGGACUGAGAUGAUGUUGCCAGAGCUCAGAUGCCUGCUUAUGUGGAUCUCCCAGCUGCUCCCAGUUUGCAGCAAAGAAAUCCCUGCCUAUAUUGGGCAAUUAAGAGUGACAAGAGAGCAAGACGUCCACUCCCUGCCAGCUGAGCAUCAUGUGGUAACUGGUGUCCUGACAGUGGAGAUCCACAAGCUGUCAGAGUGCCUCAUGUCCAGUGCUCCCUAUAAAAGCUGCAGGUCAAACAUCAAAGACCUAGGGACCAGGGACUGUGGGGAGUGCAGGCACCAGUUCUGCGCUGAAGAACACAGACACUGGCACCAAACAGCAGUGUCUUCAAGGGAACAAGAAAAGUGCUGUAACAGUGAAAUGUACUCCUUAUCUGUGUGGGGUUUUGUUUGGUUGUUUUUCUUAACUCUAUCCUCUGCCUCCCCUUCCCUUCCCAGGGUUUCAACCUCAACUAGUUAUAUUUGGGAUUGCAAUGUAAAAUGACAAGAUUGUACUCCUGUUGCAUAGAACUGACAUAAGAGAUUAGAAAAGGUUAAAAUAAAAUGAAAGAUUGCAAAGGUAAGCCUUUGAAA
rnacentral:lncRNA from 1 species